rnacentral:tRNA from 5 species
GGGCUCGUGGCGGAAUUGGCAGACGCAGCGGACUUAAAAUCCGCGGCUCAAAUUGAGCGUUGAGGGUUCGAGUCCCUCCGAGCCUA